UACACAGGGAAACAAUAGUUCAAUUAGCCAGUAAUUGUUAGAUUGUAUGUGUGUAGAGGAAGUUACCCUUUCCAAUACUUGCAUGACUUUAUUUUAUAUCUAAAUAUCUAGUCCAUUUUGGAGUUUAUUCUUGUGUAUGGAAUGAAAUAUGGAUUAACUUUUACCUUCUUCAGCAUGGUUAUCCACUUACCCCCAUGGUUAUCCACAUGGUAGCAUUUAUUAAAGAAAUUUCACAUCUGUCCCAGUGUUUUUAGAUACCAUCUUUAUCAUAUAUUUAAUUUUCAUGUGUACUUGGGUCUAUUUCCAGACUUGCUGCUCUAUUCCAUUAAUGUUUGUUUAUUCAUUUAUGUGUUCCAAACUAUUUUAACUACAGACAAUUUGUAAUAUAUUUUAGUAUAUUGUAAGACUAUUCCCUUCGCAUAGCUUUUCUAUUCAUUGUUUUCCUAGCUAUUCUUGUAUGCUUAUUUUUCCAUAUGAACUUUGGUAUCAACUUUUCUAACUCCAGAAAAAAAUGUUUGUUGGUAUUUUUAUUGGGAUCGCAUUACAGUUAUAAAUUAACUUUAGUAAAACUGACAUAUUUAUGAAUCUGAGUUAUUACAUUCAAAUACAAAGGAUGCCUUUUUAAUUCGCUCACAUCUAUUUUUGUAUCUUGCAGAAUUGUUUUAAAGUUUUCUUCGCAUAAUUUUUACACACUUCUUUCUAAGCACAUUGCCAGGUUUUAAGAUUUUAUCUUCCAUUAUGUUAUCUAAAUAGUUAUUUUUGCUUACAUGAAGUGCAUUGAUUUUUAGGUUAAUUUUAUAUCCUAAUGCUUUACUAAAUUCUUAUAUUGUCUCAUGUUAUCAAUGACUCUAUAGAUUUUUCUAGGAAUAGUGUCCCGUUAUUUUAGCUAGAUAUAGAUUUUCUAUUUUUUCCAAAUUUCUAUUACCCUAGUUUCCUGUUGUCUAAUUACAUUGGUUAAUAUCACGAGUACAAUGUAAAAUUGUAAUGUAGAUUAAAGAUAAAUACAUACAAAUGUGUGUGUGCACACACACAUGCUAAGGAAUUGUCCAUCAAUUUCUGUUUUCUUGAGGUUUUUAAUUUUUUUUAAAAAAAAGAGGCUUUCCAAGUAACUAUGGCGAUAAUCUUAUGAUUUUCCUCCCGAUAUUUAUUAAUACGGUCCAUUAUAUUAAUGGAAAUUAUUGCUGAACCAUUCUUGCUGUACCAGGAUAAAUCCCACUUGUUCACUGUAUAUUAUGUCCCAAAUAUGGUGCAGGAUUUUUCUCACUAAUAUUUUAUUUAGAAUUUUUACACCAAUAUUCACAAGAGAUAUUGAUCUAUAACAUUAUUUUCUGUGAUAUAAAAGUAGACAUUUUGAAAAGCAUUUAGAAUAUCAACAAAGGGAAUGUUUAUCUGAGAUGUUAUUGGUGCUAAAGGAGUCUGCUACAUCAUACAAAGAAGAUAUUGGUUAACAAAUAAAUUAGGUUUUUGGUGAUUAGGAAGUGGUAUUUUGAACAUUUUGCAUCCUAACAUGUUGGUUUAUAACCAUAUAGAUAGUUACAAGUAAGUUCUUUUCUGUGUUAGUAAUGUGUUGGGAGAUUGGUUGAGAGUUUGCCUUUGACAUUUAAUGCGUUGUAAUUUUUUUUCCACUAAAAUGAUAAAUAGGCUCCUCACAAGCAUAUAUAUGUACUGUUAUUUUUCCUUGGACAUAUUACUGAUGUUAAACAAAUAUAGCUUAUGUAAUAAUUCUCAAUAGUUAAUCCUCGUAAUGUUUAAAGCAAAAACUAACAGAUAUAUAAAUAGAAAUAAAUCCACAAUCUCAGAGAUUUUAACAUGGCUCUUUUCAUAUUUGAUAUAGAAAAUCUUUCUUUGCUGAAAGAUAUAAAAGAGUUGAACAUAAUUGGCAAACUUAACCUAACAGUCAUAUGUAGAACAAUGAAUUGGAGCAGGGGCCAGAAAACUGGGCUAAAUUCUGUCUGUGGUCUGUUUUUGAAUGAAAUAUGAACUAAAAAUUGUUUGAUACUUUAAAAGAUCCGUGAAAAAAGUAAAAUAAAGAAAAAUGUGUUACAAAGACCGUAUGUGACCAACAGAUCCUAAAAUGUUUAUUAUUUGGCUCUUCAGAGAAUAAGUCUGCUGACUUUUGCAUAAACUGUAGAAUAUACUCUUUAUAAGCAUACCUGGAAUAUUAAAAUAUCAAAGAAGAGCUCAUAAUGGAAACCAGAAAAGUUUUUUAAUAAAUGAUAAAAGAACAUUGCUGCAUCUACUUCUGAUAUAUUCACAAAACUCAUUUUAUUCUUUCUGAGCAUAUAAGAAAAUAACCCUUGUCAAAUUUGUCUGCUGUUAAGGACCAUAUAAGUAGCUCUAAGGGGUUCUAAAUAUUUCUGCACAUGGGGUCUAUGUCCCCUCCCCUUGAAUUGGGAUUAACUUUAGUGACUCAUUUAUAAUCAUUGGAAUGCAGCAGAAACAAUGAUGAGUAACUUCCAAGGAAAGAUACAAAAAGGCCUUUCUCUUUCCACUUAACUCUCUUGGGUCACUUGUCUUUGAAGUGACCCUAUUGGAAGUCCAAAUACCUUCAGACCUUCAUACUGUGAAGAACUCAGACCAUGUGGAAAAACCUACAGGUAGGUAUUCUGGCUGAAAGUCCUGGCUGAAUUCCCAGCUGAUAACCAACACCAACAGCCAGACAUAUGCAUGGAGACUUCAGCCCUUAGACUUGGGUGACUCUCAUCAAGUCUAACCAACUAAGGCACCAGACAUUGUGGAACAGAGAUGCAUUUUCCCUGAUGUACCCUAUGGGAAUACCUGACUCACAGAAUCAGGAAACACAAUAAAAUUUUGAUUGAAUGCUACUAAGUUUUGGGGUAGUUUGCUAUGCAGCAAUAGUCAUUUGAACACUAACCAUAGGAAUAGAGGUGGGAAUUAUACAUGCCACUUCUAUCCUUAGACAUAAAUCCCUCUUGCUCUUAAAUUCUCUUCCAUAGUGACACUCUCAGAGCAGGAUGUUUGGUUGGUAUAAUGAUAAGAAGGGAGGAGCCUUGAUUUCUAAGGGACCACCUGGAGGAGACUGGUGCAUGACACACAUUAGACUUAGGAGUGAAAAAUAAAUCUUUACUGUUCUGAGACACUGAUAUUAAGAUUAAUAGCCCAUCCUAUCUUACUAAUAGAAAUACAUUUCACAAUUUAAGAAUGAAGCUGAGGCAGAAUUUAGGGGAAAAUUUGGCUUUAAAUUUAUAUAAUUACAGAAGGAAAGUGGUGAAAAAAUAGUGAUUGAGACAUCCCCAUCACAAUUUGUAUUAAAAAUAAAAGCAAAAUAAAUCCAUAGGAAAUAGAAGGAAAUAAAUAAGAGCAGAAAAUAAAAGAAUAAAAUUCAAUGUAAAAAUCAACUUUAUUUCAGUAAAACUUUAAAAAUGAAAAAAUUCAAAUAUAGAAUAUUGCAAUAGAGAAAUAUAUAUAGUAAAAAAUCCAAUUUUUCAAAUUAAUGAAAUUGAUAAAUCUAAUGCAAGACAUUAAGAAAAGAAGAGAAAGAACAAAAGAGAGCAAUUCCAGAAUUGUAAAAGGGAAUAUCACUAUACAUCUUAUAGACUCUAAGAAUAAUGAGAAAUUAUUAUAAACAAACUUAUAACCAUAUGAAGAAUACAAAAAUCCUAGAAAAAUUCUUCUUAUCAAAACUAACACAAGAGGAAAUAGGAACUCUUACCAGUCUAGAUUAUUAACAAAUCGAAUCAGAUUUUAAACUGUCCCAAAGAGAAUAGAGUACCAAAGUGAUUUCACUGGAAAAUUCUACAGAACAUUUCAAAAAACAGUAAGUCCAAUCUUGUACCAACUUAUCCACAGAAUAGUAAAAGAGGAUACUAUCCAACUACUUGCAUAGGACCAACAUAGCCUCAAUAUCAAAACAAACUGGACAAUGUAAGAAAAGAAAAUUACAGGCAAAUCUCCCUCAUUACCAUGAAUUCAUGGAUCUCCAGAAGCCCAAAUACAUAGAAGCAAGCCACAAACAUAAAUACCUAAAUAUCACAUACAUCAUUGUUCCUAGUCAGAUUCUUUUCUGCAGCACCACGACAGGGACUCCAUAAAAAUAACAUACAUCAUGAACAAACUAACUUAUCCUAGGAAUGUAUGGGGGAUUUUAACAUUAAAAAAAUCAAACAAGCUGUCUGCUGGAGUUCCCAUUGUGGCUCAGCAGGUUAAGAACCUGACUAGUAUCCAUGAGGUGUGGGUUUGAUCCCUGGCCUCACUCAGUGGAUUAAGGAUCCAGCUUUGCUGCAAGCUGAGGCAUAGGUCACAGAUGCGUCUCAGAUCCAUCAUUGCGUGGUUGUGGGGUAGGCCAGUGGCUGCAGCUCCAAUUCAACCCCUAGCCUGGAAACUUCCGUAUGCCAUAAGUGAAACCCUUAAUUAAUUAAUUAAUUAAUUAAAUAAAACAAGCAAUCUGCUGCUUUAAUAAUUUAAAGGAAAAACUCAAAAUAUCAUUCAUUUCUUAAUUCCUGAGUUUUGUUUUUAUUCCAAGUGAAUAAUUAGGAGUAUGGGUAAAUAUUGUCUAAGAUAAUCUCAGUUUUUCACUCAUUUCUCUGUCUCUGCCCUUUGCCAUGUGACUUUGUAGUUUCUCCCACUGAAGAAGUGGAGUCAGUUUUCUCAUCCUUUGACUCUGAGGUUGGCUGCAUGUCUUGCUUUGGCAAGGAGGUAUUUAUUAGCAGAUAUGAUCCCUUCCGAGACUGGUAAAUAUGGUUCUGCACUUCCACUUCCUCUCUUGCACUUCUUCAAACAUCAUAUCAACAGUGUUUUUGCCUCCUGGGCUUUGUCCAUCCUGCUCUCUCCAUCUGAAGAGCUCCUCCCUGUAGAUAUCUGCACAGCUGACCCCUUUUCUUUGUUCAUGUCUCAUCAGAGAAGUUCUUUUGAAUAUCAAAGUUAAAAAUGUGUAUCCAGUGAAAAAGAAAUCCAGGACAUCGCUCUCUAUCCUGUUUCCCAGUUUUCUUUAUAGCACCCAAUGCUAAUAUGUUCAUUGUCUCCCCUGAUUAGAUGAUGAGAUCUUUGGGUGUGGGGACUUUUUCUAUCUUAAUGAAUUCUUAGGGCCUAGAGAAUAAUGUCUGGCAUCUAGUUACUACUCAAGGAUUAUUUGCCACAUCAAAAAUAUAUCUCAGGUCUUACCAAUUCAACCACUUUAACUUUAUUUAAUUUAGCAAAAUAUAUUGCACCUCACAACCUGACACUUGUUGGGAGCAGGUAGGUGAAGUGAGGUGGGACUUAAAAGUUGCUAAAAAAUGGAAUAAAGAGAGUAAUUAACCAGAAACCAUGGAAAGUACAUACUUGCCAUUACUCUUUGCAUCUAUUCUAUACACUGAGAGAAACACACACUGAACAUUCGUAAAGAGCCAUAUGAAGAAAUGGAGAGGAUAGACAUAUUGAAAAUCUGAAGGAAGAUCUUGAAAGAUAUAAUGAGUAGGAAAUAAAAUCAUGGAUAAAACAUUAAUGAAUAAUAAUCACAGUAUCCAAGGAAGAAGUGAAAAAAGGAUCUUCACUUAAAUAAACUAUAUAUAUGGGGAGGGGGGGGAAAUUCGGAAAUAUCUAGACACAAAUAUUCAAUGUAGAGUGACCUAUAAAACCCAGAAAUUAAGGGAAAAUGUAUAAAGCUAUCUAGUUUUCUUCAGUUACAACCAAAAUAUUUACAUGUUGAGAAUGUACUUGUUUACAUAGUUGAAUAUGUAACUAGACAUAUUGAUAAAGGAUUUGUGGUUAUAAUAUGGAUGCAACUGGAGAGACAAAUAAUAGAUGCUCAACAAUAAAUGAAUUCUGAGAUUUACUUUCAAGGACGUGACUCAACAUGUACAGCAGCCUUGUUCAUACCACAUAGAUGCUUUCAUAAUGUUAAUGGAAUGACUAGAUGUUCAAAAAGAAAAAAAAAGUAACUAUGUACAACAGGAUAAAUAGCUUGCCUAACUGAGCCUAAAUUAGUCUAAGCUAUUUUUAGUCUGUGAUUCUGCCCUAGAAGGCCCCUGGGAAUUAGAGGGAAAUAUGGAGAGAGAAAAUUUGUUUUUUCCCAGCUGAAUGAUACCAAAAUAUUCCUGAAAUGCAUUUUAAAAGGCUUUAUGUUCCAAAGAUAACUCAGUUUCUGUCAGUCAGGAAAAUUAAAAGGUGGAAAGUUUAUUUUUACAACACAGCAUUUCCUCCAGGGACCCUCUCCAGGGUGACUACAGCCUUUUGCCAUAGGUAGUAGAAAUAGAUGGGGAUGUAAAUCUGUGAGUAUAUUAAACAUCUAUAAGUUAGACUAAGAAUCUGAUUUUGUUCAGUUUUGGAAAAAUUCCUUUUUGAUUUUAUUUGCCUAGAUAUCUCUGAUCACCCUCUCAAAAGUCCAGAUGGUUCUCAGCCCAACAUUACUUGCCCAAUAUAUUUGUUUAAAAUCUGGAAGUUCCAGUGUGACUAGCAUCCAUGAGGACACAGGUUAGUCAGCGUGACUAGCAUCCAUGAGGACACAGGUUCGAUCCCUGGCGUCACUCAGUGGGUUAAGGAUCCAGACUUGCCAUGAGCUGUGGUGUAGGUCGCAGAUGUGGCUUGGAUCCCACGUUGCUGUGGCUGUGGAGUAGGCCAGCAGCUACACCUCUGAUUGGACCCCUAGCCUAGGAAUCUCCAUAUGCCACAGGUACGGCCCUAAAAAGACAAAAAAAAAAAUUUUUUUAAUAAAAAUAAAUAAAUUUAAUAAAAUGUCUUCAGAACUCCAGUUUCUGAUCCAACAUUUAAGGAGCUUGGAAGAAGCCCAUUCAUCCUAACAACAGGUAAAAAGCAGAGCAAACUGAAAAAUCAACAAUUCUUUUUAGAUCCAUAGAGAAGUAAGGUCAGAGGGCAAACUUCUGCUCCCUCUAAAUUUGAGAGACCAAGGAGGGAAUAUAGAGAAUCACAACUCACUGCAGUGGAAACCUACAAUGGGAACCAGUGUUGGGGUAGGAAAAUCUAACCUGCUAUUAACAAAUGGCUGGUGGCUUGGUAUAGGCAGCAUGAGAGAGAAAAACUCCAGGAAACCCAAUCAUCAGAAGGUCCCCAUUUUUGUGAAUUUUACCUUCUAAAACUCUACCAGGUACUCCCAGUGAAUACAAGAGAAAUAUCUCAGUGUUUUCUGCAGGGAAGUGGAAAGGAAACUAUUUUUUAAAUAUUCCAGAGCAUUCUUUUCUUCUUAAUAAGUUCUGGCUUCAGUAGAAACUAGUUAACCAGGUCUUACACUGCUGGUGCUUUAUCAGAGCCUACCUGACGUGGGGAAAGAAAAUACCUGACUCCAGCUAGAUCUAGUCUUCCAUAUGGAGGAAAAGAAACACUCAACUCCAACUCUUUCUAGCUUCCACAUGGGGAAUGACUGGAGUGGACUGGAAUGCAGUACUCUCCAGUCAUCAUUCUCACCCGAGUCGGUGGAGUGGGGGGAUCUGAGAAGUGAGGAGAACUGAGAAGCCUGUGUGAAGUUCACUCUCCAAAAGUAAAGGCUCAUCAGAAGAAUGAGACCUAAUCAUACAGAGCACUUCCCCUUCUCCACAUCUCACAUUGCCGAAGGCCUAUUUAUGACCAUUACACUUGCCCAGUACACUAUGUCAAGCUAAGAAAAAAAAUAAGACAUACCAAAAGACCAAAAAAAAUAGUUUAAAGAGACAGGGCAAGCAUCAGAACCAGACUCAUGACAGGGAUAUUGGAGUUAUCAGACCAGGAAACAAAUAUGAUUACUAUGCUAAGGACUUGAAGGGAUAAAGUACUCAUUAUACAAGAACAUAUAGAAAUCUAAGCAGAGAAAUAUAAAUUUUAAGAAAGAAUCAAAAAAGUGAUAGAGAUUAAAAACACUGUAACAGAAAUGUGAUUAGCUUAUUGUAAAUUGGAAAAAGCAGAGGAAAGACUCUCUGUGCUUGAGACUGUCUCCAUGGAAAAUUCCCCCAAAAUGACAAGCAAACGUAAAGAAGACUGGGAAAAAAAAUCAAAACAGAGUACCCAAGACCUGUGGGACAACUACAAAAGGUGUAGCAAUGUAUAAUUGGAAUAUC
rnacentral:lncRNA from 1 species